GGUUAAGCGACUAAGCGUACACGGUGGAUGCCCUGGCAGUCAGAGGCGAUGAAGGACGUGCUAAUCUGCGAAAAGCGUCGGUAAGGUGAUAUGAACCGUUAUAACCGGCGAUGUCCGAAUGGGGAAACCCAGUGUGAUUCGUCACACUAUCGUUAACUGAAUACAUAGGUUAACGAGGCGAACCGGGGGAACUGAAACAUCUAAGUACCCCGAGGAAAAGAAAUCAACCGAGAUUCCCCCAGUAGCGGCGAGCGAACGGGGAGCAGCCCAGAGUCUGAAUCAGCUUGUGUGUUAGUGGAACGGUCUGGAAAGUCCGACGGUACAGGGUGAUAGUCCCGUACACCAAAAUGCACAGGCUGUGAACUCGAAGAGUAGGGCGGGACACGUGGUAUCCUGUCUGAAUAUGGGGGGACCAUCCUCCAAGGCUAAAUACUCCUGACUGACCGAUAGUGAACCAGUACCGUGAGGGAAAGGCGAAAAGAACCCCGGCGAGGGGAGUGAAAAAGAACCUGAAACCGUGUACGUACAAGCAGUGGGAGCACCUUCGGGUGUGACUGCGUACCUUUUGUAUAAUGGGUCAGCGACUUAUAUUCUGUAGCAAGGUUAACCGUAUAGGGGAGCCGCAGGGAAACCGAGUCUUAACUGGGCGUUAAGUUGCAGGGUAUAGACCCGAAACCCGGUGAUCUAGCCAUGGGCAGGUUGAAGGUUGGGUAACACUAACUGGAGGACCGAACCGACUAAUGUUGAAAAAUUAGCGGAUGACUUGUGGCUGGGGGUGAAAGGCCAAUCAAACCGGGAGAUAGCUGGUUCUCCCCGAAAGCUAUUUAGGUAGCGCCUCGUGAACUCAUCUUCGGGGGUAGAGCACUGUUUCGGCUAGGGGGUCAUCCCGACUUACCAACCCGAUGCAAACUACGAAUACCGAAGAAUGUUAUCACGGGAGACACACGGCGGGUGCUAACGUCCGUCGUGAAGAGGGAAACAACCCAGACCGCCAGCUAAGGUCCCAAAGUCAUGGUUAAGUGGGAAACGAUGUGGGAAGGCACAGACAGCCAGGAUGUUGGCUUAGAAGCAGCCAUCAUUUAAAGAAAGCGUAAUAGCUCACUGGUCGAGUCGGCCUGCGCGGAAGAUGUAACGGGGCUAAACCAUGCACCGAAGCUGCGGCAGCGACACUAUGUGUUGUUGGGUAGGGGAGCGUUCUGUAAGCCUGCGAAGGUGACCUGUGAGGGUUGCUGGAGGUAUCAGAAGUGCGAAUGCUGACAUAAGUAACGAUAAAGCGGGUGAAAAGCCCGCUCGCCGGAAGACCAAGGGUUCCUGUCCAACGUUAAUCGGGGCAGGGUGAGUCGACCCCUAAGGCGAGGCCGAAAGGCGUAGUCGAUGGGAAACAGGUUAAUAUUCCUGUACUUGGUGUUACUGCGAAGGGGGGACGGAGAAGGCUAUGUUAGCCGGGCGACGGUUGUCCCGGUUUAAGCAUGUAGGCUGGUUGUCCAGGCAAAUCCGGAUAAUCAAGGCUGAGGUGUGAUGACGAGGCACUACGGUGCUGAAGUAACAAAUGCCCUGCUUCCAGGAAAAGCCUCUAAGCAUCAGGUAACAUCAAAUCGUACCCCAAACCGACACAGGUGGUCAGGUAGAGAAUACCAAGGCGCUUGAGAGAACUCGGGUGAAGGAACUAGGCAAAAUGGUGCCGUAACUUCGGGAGAAGGCACGCUGGUGUGUAGGUGAAGUCCCUGCGGAUGGAGCUGAGACCAGUCGAAGAUACCAGCUGGCUGCAACUGUUUAUUAAAAACACAGCACUGUGCAAACACGAAAGUGGACGUAUACGGUGUGACGCCUGCCCGGUGCCGGAAGGUUAAUUGAUGGGGUUAUCCGUAAGGAGAAGCUCUUGAUCGAAGCCCCGGUAAACGGCGGCCGUAACUAUAACGGUCCUAAGGUAGCGAAAUUCCUUGUCGGGUAAGUUCCGACCUGCACGAAUGGCGUAAUGAUGGCCAGGCUGUCUCCACCCGAGACUCAGUGAAAUUGAACUCGCUGUGAAGAUGCAGUGUACCCGCGGCAAGACGGAAAGACCCCGUGAACCUUUACUAUAGCUUGACACUGAACAUUGAGCCUUGAUGUGUAGGAUAGGUGGGAGGCUUUGAAGCGUGGACGCCAGUCUGCGUGGAGCCAACCUUGAAAUACCACCCUUUAAUGUUUGAUGUUCUAACGUUGGCCCCUUACCGGGGUUGCGGACAGUGUCUGGUGGGUAGUUUGACUGGGGCGGUCUCCUCCCAAAGCGUAACGGAGGAGCACGAAGGUUAGCUAAUCCUGGUCGGACAUCAGGAGGUUAGUGCAAUGGCAUAAGCUAGCUUGACUGCGAGCGUGACGGCGCGAGCAGGUGCGAAAGCAGGUCAUAGUGAUCCGGUGGUUCUGAAUGGAAGGGCCAUCGCUCAACGGAUAAAAGGUACUCCGGGGAUAACAGGCUGAUACCGCCCAAGAGUUCAUAUCGACGGCGGUGUUUGGCACCUCGAUGUCGGCUCAUCACAUCCUGGGGCUGAAGUAGGUCCCAAGGGUAUGGCUGUUCGCCAUUUAAAGUGGUACGCGAGCUGGGUUUAGAACGUCGUGAGACAGUUCGGUCCCUAUCUGCCGUGGGCGCUGGAGAAUUGAGGGGGGCUGCUCCUAGUACGAGAGGACCGGAGUGGACGCAUCACUGGUGUUCGGGUUGUCAUGCCAAUGGCACUGCCCGGUAGCUAAAUGCGGAAGAGAUAAGUGCUGAAAGCAUCUAAGCACGAAACUUGCCCCGAGAUGAGUUCUCCCUGAGACUUUAAGUCUCCUGAAGGAACGUUGAAGACGACGACGUUGAUAGGCCGGGUGUGUAAGCGCAGCGAUGCGUUGAGCUAACCGGUACUAAUGAACCGUGAGGCUUAACCUU
rnacentral:rRNA from 1 species